GCUCGUCUUUCUCUUUUUGAUUUAAAAUAUAAUAAACUACCAAUUUUAAUUAUAACUUUGAUAGUAGUAGUCAUUAGAGAAAUUAUUUCUGUUCCUUGAGCGUUUGCACAUGCUAUCGAAGCUAAACAUAAUACAUAGUUCCAUGCAACACGGUUAUCCAUUUUGCUUGUAUAAACCGCUUUCUUAUAAACUUGUUUGUGAUUGGCUCACUUUUGGCUAGACGGAUCGAUGUACGGAUAGUAGUGUGAACACUUUUGACGGAAUCGAUUACAAAUGACGGAGAGACGGAGACGGAACGUAGCUCUAGUGGGAACCAAAUACCUUACUACGCUUUCUGUCCAUCCAUUCUUCCGUCACCAAAAGUCCCAUCGAUAAAAUGAGCGGAGAGAGAAGGAAAAUCCCCUGGACCGCAAAAAAGCGGUAGACCGCUGACGAUUAAUUACCGGGACAGAUGCCCCACCCAUAGCAAUUGGUUAUUAUUGAAAGGGAAAGUAUGCCUCCUAUCCCACUAUCGAGGUGCAUCGUCUAUCGGAAUAUUUUUUAAAUAAUAUUGUACUAUUUUUUGGUAAAGAGCAAUACAGAUGGGUUUAAUUAGCCACAAUCCCGUGGGCUUUUCGACCCCAUCCGUUGUCGAAAGGUAUAUACCAAUCGGGAGGGCCGAUCAAUUAUCUGCUGUCAGUAUUAUCCCAUUUACACCCAACUCAUCAAAACCGGAUAUACUAACCUAUUCUUGUAGAGUAAAAGUUGUGAUCGGUGGGAAAAGACGGGACGUCUCUCCCUCGGCCGAGGAAAAGUAGCCAACAGAUUAAAACUAACAAUAAACGUAGAGAAUAACGGGAUGGGUGGAUGGUCUCGCAAUCAGAUACGUAAUUCUGGC
rnacentral:lncRNA from 1 species